GGGGCUGUCAUGGCUUACCAAACCGAUGCAAACUCCGAAUACCGGCUAAUUGAAUCACGGGAGACACACGGCGGGUGCUAACGUCCGUCGUGGAGAGGGAAACAACCCAGACCGCCAGCUAAGGUCCCCAAGUACUAGUUAAGUGGGAAACGAUGUGGGAAGGCAUAGACAGCCAGGAGGUUGGCUUAGAAGCAGCCACCCUUUAAAGAAAGCGUAAUAGCUCACUGGUCGAGUCGGCCUGCGCGGAAGAUGUAACGGGGCUAAAACUAGUCACCGAAGCUGCGGAUGUGCGCGAAGGCGCACGUGGUAGGGGAGCGUUCUGUAGGCUGAUGAAGGUGCAUUGAGAAGUGUGCUGGAGGUAUCAGAAGUGCGAAUGCUGACAUGAGUAACGAUAAUGUGGGUGAAAAGCCCACACGCCGGAAGUCCCAGGUUUCCUGCACGACGUUAAUCGGAGCAGGGUGAGUCGGCCCCUAAGGCGAGGCUGAAGAGCGUAGUCGAUGGGAACCAGGUUAAUAUUCCUGGACUUUUUAUAAGUGGUGAAGUGGGGACGAAGAAGGCUAGGUGAGCCAGGCGUUGGUUGUCCUGGUACUUGCAUGUAGGGGGGAAGACUUGGCAAAUCCGGUUUUCCAUAACUCUGAGGUGCGAAGUGGUUCUGACCUUUUGGUACAGAGAAGUCAUUGAUGCCCGGCUUCCAGGAAAAGCUGCUAGCCAUAACUUAUAGAGAACCGUACCGCAAACCGACACAGGUGGACAGGUAGAGAAUACUAAGGCGCUUGAGAGAACUCGGGUGAAGGAACUAGGCAAAAUGGUACCGUAACU
rnacentral:rRNA from 1 species